rnacentral:rRNA from 1 species
CCUACGGGAGGCAGCAGUUUCGAAUCAUUCACAAUGGGCGAAAGCCUGAUGGUGCGACGCCGCGUGAGGGAUGAAGGUCUUCGGAUUGUAAACCUCUGUCACCGGGGAAGAAACGCUUCAAGUUAAUAGCUUGAAGCCUGACUUAACCCGGAGAGGAAGCAGUGGCUAACUCUGUGCCAGCAGCCGCGGUAAU